rnacentral:rRNA from 1 species
UGGGGAAUAUUGGACAAUGGGCGAAAGCCUGAUCCAGCCAUGCCGCGUGUGUGAAGAAGGUCUUCGGAUUGUAAAGCACUUUAAGUUGGGAGGAAGGGCAGUAAGCGAAUACCUUGCUGUUUUGACGUUACCGACAGAAUAAGCACCGGCUAACUCUGUGCCAGCAGCCGCGGUAAUACAGAGGGUGCAAGCGUUAAUCGGAUUUACUGGGCGUAAAGCGUGCGUAGGCGGCUAAUUGAGUCGGAUGUGAAAUCCCCGAGCUUAACUUGGGAAUUGCAUUCGAUACUGGUUAGCUAGAGUGUGGGAGAGGAUGGUAGAAUUCCAGGUGUAGCGGUGAAAUGCGUAGAGAUCUGGAGGAAUACCGAUGGCGAAGGCAGCCAUCUGGCCUAACACUGACGCUGAGGUACGAAAGCAUGGGGAGCAAACUGG